UACGGGGGGGGCAAGCGUUGUUCGGAAUUACUGGGCGUAAAGGGCUCGUAGGUGGCCAACUAAGUCGGACGUGAAAUCCCUCAGCUUAACUGGGGAACUGCGUCCGAUACUGGAUGGCUUGAGUUUGGGAGAGGGAUGCAGAAUUCCAGGUGUAGCGGUGAAAUGCGUAGAUAUCUGGAGGAAUACCGGUGGCGAAGGCGGCAUCCUGGACCGGCAUUGACGCUGAUGAGCGAAAGCUAGGGGAGCAAACAGG
rnacentral:rRNA from 1 species